UACGUAGGGUGCGAGCGUUGUCCGGAAUUAUUGGGCGUAAAGGGCUCGUAGGCGGUUUGUCGCGUCGGGAGUGAAAUCCACUGGCUUAACUGGUGGCUUGCUUUCGAUACGGGCAGACUGGAGGUAUGCAGGGGAGAACGGAAUUCCUGGUGUAGCGGUGAAAUGCGUAGAUAUCUGGAGGAACACCGGUGGCGAAGGCGGCAUCCUGGACCGGCAUUGACGCUGAGGCGCGAAAGCCAGGGGAGCAAACGGG
rnacentral:rRNA from 1 species